rnacentral:rRNA from 1 species
UACGGAAGGUAGCAGUGGGGAAUAUUGCACAAUGGGCGCAAGCCUGAUGCAGCCAUGCCGCGUGUAUGAAGAAGGCCUUCGGGUUGUAAAGUACUUUCAGUCGUGAGGAAGGUGUUAAGGUUAAUAACCUUAGCAAUUGACGUUAGCGACAGAAGAAGCACCGGCUAACUCCGUGCCAGCAGCCGCGGUAAUACGGAGGGUGCGAGCGUUAAUCGGAAUUACUGGGCUAAAGGGCACGCAGGCGGUUAAUUAAGUUGGAUGUGAAUCCCCGGGCUUAACCUGGGAAUGGCAUUCAAGACUGGUUAGCUAGAGUCUUGUAGAGGGGGUAGAAUUCCAUGUGUAGCGGUGAAAUGCGUAGAGAUGUGGAGGAAUACCGGUGGCGAAGGCGGCCCCUGGACAAAGACUGACGCUCAUGUGCGAAAGCGUGGGGAGCAAACAGGGAUUAGAUACCCGU